CCCUUAUCAAGAGCGGUUUACAUUUUCUGCAUUAAAAUGCAGAUUGGGAGUCAGGCUCCGUAAACCCAGCAACCGUUUCGCUUGAGCUUUCUUUGCGAAAAAUGGUGCUAAUUCCUACGGCACGGCAAGGGCUGUGACCGAAAGAUGAGGA
rnacentral:ncRNA from 16 species